GACACCUAGCAGUAUGUAGUGGCAAUCCAUUAGAACUGAAAUGAAUCUCUAGGUGUAGUUAACAUGUGAUUCAAUCUCUUUAUCGUGAGUUCUGACUAGAUGGUAGGUCAUGAAUAAAUCAUCAAACCUCAACAUCAAUCAUAUGAUAGAUUCGAUUAGCUCAAGUCCAGUUGUGACUUCCAUGAAAACUCUUUUCCCUCAGUCACACUACUAUG
rnacentral:lncRNA from 1 species